rnacentral:lncRNA from 1 species
UCUGAAAUAUCGCGAGAACCAGAGGUUCCAGCAGACAGACCUGAUCUGCCGAUUCCCGAUCAAAGCGGACGAUCAGGCCGAACCCAGAGCGUGCAUGCUCCCUUCGUGUCCCUUGUCCUAAGUUAAUGAGUAAACUUUGGUUAGGACGUUUGGCUUGUGAUAUUUCGGUGGCGGACACCCAACGUCUUAUCCUUCACUUAAACUUAAUCCUGCAGACCCAGCACCGGGGCAGGUUAGCCUUUUCUUCUCCAAGCUCACCCGCCCUCGCCCCUAUAAACUACCAAUGGACAUCCUCUGUGUUGGUCACUGGGAAGCACUGAAGGCUCGAAGGUGAUCUUUGAAAUAGCAUGGAGGAUUGCAACGCGUGGACUGCACGUGCGUAGCAGAGCUAAGCGGUUUGCUUAAGUGCAGUUAUCUUUGUUAUUGGUCAAAUUUAAGAAUGAAUAUUAAUCUCCAUUUUAUGGAAGGGAAGUUGAUAACCACAAUUCAGUGGUACGCAGAGGUCACCAGGCCAAUAGAUAUUACAGCGACGAUUUCUACCCUAGAUGGGCAGAUUACAAAGUGGGAAUAGUUAACCACUUUAUCUAUAUCUAUAUAUCUAUAUAGAUAUUCUCUACUCCCCCAGAAUCUUUUUCACAAACAUUUCUAUGUAAAUAGAAUAACUUCAUAGAGAAAGUAAAACACUCUUACAAUAAAAAAAUACAAAAAAAUGGAAGCAUCUCCUGCCCUUGCAGAAAAAUAUGAAACGCUUUGGUGAGUCGUUGGACAUAGAGAAAUUAAGAUUUUCUUUACAUUGGGACAGACUCAUAAUUGCAACCGUACUAUCAACUGCAAUUUUUUUUUCUAUUAAACAUUUUAAAUAUGUAACCAUGGGACUGAAGGAGCUGAAGGGGUUUGGAGCCCCAUGGAGGGAGCAACAGUGUCAACAGGCCAGUUCCCCUAGAGCUCCCAGGGACAGGACAACCAACCAAA